AAGAUGGCGACCGGCGCACGGGUGAGUAACACGUAUCCAACCUGCCGAUAACUCUGGAAUAGCCUUUCGAAAGAAAGAUUAAUACCGGAUGGCAUACGAAUAUCGCAUGAUAUUUUUAUUAAAGAAUUUCGGUUAUCGAUGGGGAUGCGUUCCAUUAGUUUGUUGGCGGGUAACGGCCCACCAAGACAACGAUGGAUAGGGGUUCUGAGAGGAAGGUCCCCCACAUUGGAACUGAGACACGGUCCAA
rnacentral:rRNA from 1 species